GCAGUCAUAUCCGAGCGGUUAAGGCGAUGGAAUAGAAAUCCAUUGGGGUCUCCCCGCACAGGUUCGAAUCCUGUCGACUGCG
rnacentral:tRNA from 1 species